CAGAUGCACCCACAGCUGAGCCCGCAAGAUGCGACCGGCUUGGAUCUUUUGAGCGAACGAGAAGAAACAGCAUUUGGGCUCCUCGUCCACUUGCACGAUGGGGUCGGCUGGAGGGAGAGAGGGUCACUGCUGUUUACUGAGGCUGGGGUCUGUGAACAGACAGCGCCACCGUGUGGACAGAUACGGUCACAUACUGCACACCAGCGGAGUAAUGGCACCACAAACUUAUUUGUAUGGUGACGUCCAUGCUCUUCGCUAAUCAAUAUUUGAAAAGACAUUGUCCCACAAAGCUACAAAUAAAUGCAGUUGUAGCAGGAAGCAAGCGAUCAGGAAAUGGCAUCACUGGUAAGGAGGGAGAAAGGAAAAGUUUCAAAUCAGACACACCUGAGAGCUGUGUAGAAGAGGGAAAUUCAAACAAAGGAGAGACUGGAAGGACGUCAGAUUAACAUGAGAAGUGAGACUGAAAAGAAAAGGAAGAAAUAAAACAUAAUAUAGACUUAAAUGAGGAAUUUGAAAAUGGACUGGUGUGGACCCAGGACUCUUUGGAAGAGAAAAUGAGUCCCUGGAGCAGGUGGACCUGUUCCUGCUCAGACUCAGGGGCGGCUCUCUCUCUGGGUUGGAGGACACCUACAGGCAGUUAAGUUCCCCUUUUUCCCAAACUCUCUUGGCUUCUCCCUAUGUCUGGCCUGAAAAUAUCCCUGUGCUCUCCCUCCCCCUACCCGACAUACAUACACCCCUAACCUCCAACCUGCCCCAGAUUGGACCCCAUUCAUCUUUUUUCCCCUUUCACACACAUACACUCUCAACUCUAUGAACUGAACUGAACUGAUCUCCAUACUCAUCAUCAUCCCCCGGAAAGAACUGAACAAACCUGAAGACUGGCCAACAAUUUACCCGUGUACACUCACUCUCACAUACAUACACUCCUACACACUCUCACU